CGUUCCAUGGCCGAAUAGUUCAAGGCAUCGCAGAUAGAGGCGAAGAUGCGGGUUUGAAUCCCGCUGCAACGG
rnacentral:tRNA from 1 species